UACGAAGGGGGCUAGCGUUGCUCGGAAUCACUGGGCGUAAAGGGUGCGUAGGCGGGUCUUUAAGUCCGGGGUGAAAUCCUGGAGCUCAACUCCAGAACUGCCUUUGAUACUGAAGAUCUUGAGUUCGGGAGAGGUGAGUGGAACUGCGAGUGUAGAGGUGAAAUUCGUAGAUAUUCGCAAGAACACCAGUGGCGAAGGCGGCUCACUGGCCCGAUACUGACGCUGAGGCGCGAAAGCGUGGGUAGCAAACAGG
rnacentral:rRNA from 1 species